GUCGUACAGUGUAUCCGUACCGGAGCUUGCUCCAUCGAAAGAGAAAGAGUGGCGGACGGGUGAGUAACACGUGGGUAACCUGCCCAUCAAAGGGGGAUAACACUUGGAAACAGGUGCUAAUACCGCAUAAUUCCAGUGACCGCAUGGUCGCCGGAUAAAAGACGCUUCGGUGUCACUGGUGGAUGGACCCGCGCUGCAUUAGUUAGUUGGUGGGGUAACGGCCUACCAAGACCGUGAUGCAUAGCCGACCUGAGAGGGUGAUCGGCCACACUGGGACUGAGACACGGCCCAGACUCCUACGGGAGGCAGCAGUAGGGAAUCUUCGGCAAUGGACGGAAGUCUGACCGAGCAACGCCGCGUGAGUGAAGAAGGUUUUCGGAUCGUAAAACUCUGUUGUUAGAGAAGAACAAGUGGGAGAGUAACUGUUCUCACCUUGACGGUAUCUAACCAGAAAGCCACGGCUAACUACGUGCCAGCAGCCGCGGUAAUACGUAGGUGGCAAGCGUUGUCCGGAUUUAUUGGGCGUAAAGCGAGCGCAGGCGGUUUCUUAAGUCUGAUGUGAAAGCCCCCGGCUUAACCGGGGAGGGUCAUUGGAAACUGGGAGACUUGAGUGCAGAAGAGGAGAGUGGAAUUCCAUGUGUAGCGGUGAAAUGCGUAGAUAUAUGGAGGAACACCAGUGGCGAAGGCGACUCUCUGGUCUGUAACUGACGCUGAGGCUCGAAAGCGUGGGGAGCAAACACGAUUAGAUACCCUGGUAGUCCACGCCGUAACGAUG
rnacentral:rRNA from 1 species